rnacentral:sRNA from 1 species
UAGAAACAAAGAACCACUUUAAGUUUCUGGUAUGUUAAUUGGCUCUAUAAAAAGUGAUUAGAGACUCCCCUCCAUUUGUUAUUAUUAUUUUUAAAUUUCCACUAUCUGCUGUGCUUUCAGUGUCUGCUACAGGAACACAGUAGUCUAUUUUCCCUACACUUUUAUCUCCCAUGAAGAAAAAUCAACAGUGUAUUAUCAUGUUUCUUCAACACAACUGAACUCAUCUUAUUAGGGAAAAGCGAAGAAGGAAGUGUCAUCUUAUUAGAAGUGACAUGAUGUAUAUCCAGCCAUAUGUUUUCAAAGGCAUUCUGUCAGUGUUAAUCAAAACUCUUCCAAAUUUAUGAACCUACAGAGCAGCAUGUCAACCAUAUGGGAAAUCUCUCCCUUCAAUACUGAGAAUCUGAAUUAAUAAUAAACAUUACUUAGUGAACCUAAAUGAGAAAAACACAUCAAUGUUGAAUCUAAUAGAAGUGGAAACUUAAAAAAAACCUCCCUUGGGUGUUCAUUUUUUUCAGUGUUCAUCACUACAUGGCUGCAUGCAUAAUCUGACUCUGUGUGCUCAUUUACUGGACAGAAGGUGUCUAAAAUCUAUUUCAUGAUUGCUGCUAAAGUGUCAAUUACUUUAUUUCUCCCUUUGCUUUAUAAUUUAGAGGAAAAUGUUUGACAAAACUGGGAUUGAAAAGAAACCAAAGGGACUGGGAGAUAGUGAAGUAAGUGCUUGCUGUGAAAAUAUGAGGGCCUGAGUUCAAAUCCCUACCACCUAUGUAAAGUCAGUGUUCCUGUAUCUAUGAUUCCAGGGCUCAGUGGCAAUGAGAGGUGAAGAUGAGGGAUCCCUGGAAGUGAAGGGAUAGCUGUCCCAUUGAAUGAACCCAGUGACAGUGGAAACAAUCAAUCUCAAACAGAGGAAGAGAGACAAGAAUGAGGCUGGAUAACACCUUCCCUACAGACUCAGUGAUGAAAUGCUUAAGGUUGGCCAUUUGACUACAGGAAUCACACAGACAGGAAGAUGAAUGCUUUCUUCUCAGAGGAUCAAAGAGGAGCCAGAAUUUCAGGAAACCAGACAUCUGUAAAGAGGCAAUGAGAACCUUCGCUCAAGGACCUAGCUCGAGUUUGAAGAGAGAAUCCGGUGACCAGCAAGGCCAAAUGUUUACAGAUAAGGCUCAAAUAGUCCAACUCUUCUACAUCCUUAGGAGCAGACCAGUUUACAGAACAGCUGCUGUGUGUCCAUGUUAUUGUCAACGGCAUCUAGAAUCAUUGGAGACAUGGGCCUGUAGACAUGCUGUGGGGAAUUGUCUUUAGUUUGUUAGUAUGGAAAGAUCUGUCCACUGUGGGCAGAACUAUUCCCUGAUUGGGCUCCUGGACUGUGGUGCUUGGACUCCUUGCCAUCUGCUUUCUGUUUGUGGAUACAAUGUUACCAGCUUCUUCAAGCUCCUGUGGUCUUGACUUGCGAGAAUAAAACCUUUCUCCAUUAAGUUGCCUUUGUCAGAAUACUUUAGACAAAUAGCAAGGUAUCAGGCAACUGAGCUACACACUUUAUUCUUAUUACUUCCUUCAAUCUUUGCAACAAAUAAACCUAGCAAGGAGAGUAAUGUCUCAAGUUUUCAGAUCAGGAAACAGGGAGAUUCAGAAACUUGCCCCAGGGGAUACAAGAGAACUACCAGCUGUUACCUUAUAAAUUGUCACUCUCUAAAAUAGCUUUACACAUUGUGAUAUAACUGAAGGAGGCUGGCCUUUGUAAGAGUUGGGAGAGGUGUGGGUGGCAGUGAUGCUGAUGACAUCUUCCCUAAGCACAUGGUUUGCCCCAGUGUAGUGCAGGCAGGGGAUAUUGUCUGUAGUGAUGAGGGUUGCAAAAGUUUCUGGCCUUUGUUUUCACUCUAUCAAAAGGACUGAAAAUGUGGAGUUUUAAAUAAAAGCACCUGAGUUUUAUAUUUGUGCCAUCUACCCCGAUUUUUAAAAAGUGCU